AUGCCAAUACACUCCACACUUACUAAUGCUACUAUGCCAACAGGAAGAAUGUCAGGGACAACAGGGGCAGAGCAGGACUGCCAUGGCCACCUGUGUUCAGGACAGCACCUGAGAGGUUCUUGGCACCUGUUGAUGGAGAAGCAACAGAACCUCAGGAGGGCACCAAUUUUACUGGAGGACAGAAGCAAACACUACCCUCAAUGAUGAGGUCAUCACAACUUCAGAGCAAUUCCAGACUUCAAGGAAACAUGUUCAGGCAAACAGAGUACUCUCUCUAGGCCAAACAGGUUUUUGUGGUGUGCUGUGUUGUGUUCGGUGGCCACAGUGCAGUCAGGAAGAUGGUCAUCAGGACGACUUGGUUGAGAGACUAGACAUUCUGGAUCAGCUGACAUUGAGUAUGAGGCAGGAAGGAGGGCUAUCUCUUGCUGUUCUACAUUUGACAAAUAUGACCCAGAUCACAGAGCUGCAGCCAUCUCCUCUUAUCUCACAGAGCUUGUGAGGUGGUCCAUUUGUUCGGAAUUUCUUAUCUCACAAGUGAAGCUGCACUAAGGAGCUUCAAUAGUCAAAUAGUCAGUGAUCAUAAGAAGCCAAAGGAUCAAAGUGUGAAGAGUUUAAGCCCCAAACAGCAUCCUCUAAGGUUCUGGUGGAAGCACAGCCAGUGCCAUCAGUAGGAUAUUCUCUUGUAAGCUCUGACAUCUUUCCCAGUUUCCAUAGUGUUGGGGUACCAGACUCUAGUCAAGUAUCUCACCUAAGGAGACACUGUGCUGUCUGUGUCAGGAACCUCAGUUUCUAGCUGAUUCUGCAUGUUGGCAGUAAGCCUCAUCUGGGCUUACAGUCAAUAAAAAAUCAAGUUCACUCGAGUCA
rnacentral:lncRNA from 1 species